rnacentral:lncRNA from 1 species
GAGACAUUAUCUGUUUAAUAAAUAUGAUUGUAAAAGCAAUAAACAAGAGCAAUUAUACAUUACACUACAUAGUAUUUAACCAAAAAUACAUCAAAAAAGUCAUUUUAAAAUUAGAAGUAGUUCCAAUACUAUAAGAAAACUUUCUUUUUUUUUUUCUUUAAAUUGGCUUCCUAUAAAAAUAAGUCGGCAAAUGAGAGAUUUCAAUGCUCAGUUGGAUUCCUGGAAAACACAGAACAGCUGCCAAGCACCCCAUUGCUCUCAAAGUUGCUGUUUGGAACUUCUGAAAAAAAGCAAAGCAAACCUCUGCAUUUUGGACAGUGAAUCCAAUUAAAAAUAAGGCAAGGGAGAAAGUGUUGCGUGGGUGGUUCAGGGUAGAACAUGCACAGUUUGCCUUCUGGGAUUUUGGAAAACGUUGCAGUAUCGGAUUUUUAGCUUGCCCUGAAUCUUAGCUUCCACAUACAUUCCUCCCUACACAUUCCUCUGACCUUAAGCCCACCAAACUCCUUGUGUGUUUGCACCUGCGAUUAGUGAGUAGGUAGGCACUUAGGUCCCUCCCAUUUGUAGGCCCUCAUUACUGCCUUCUCUUUGUGAGUCAGCCGGAAUGGCCUAGUACAAUGGUUCUCAAACAUUAGUAUGUAUCACAAUCACUGGGAGGGCUCGUUAAAAUAGAUGGCUGGGCCCACUAUCACUUAGCAAUAGAGAACACCACUACUCAUCCCCUAGAGUUUCUAAUUCAGUAGGUAUGGAGUAUGGAUCCAGAAUCUGGAUCUCUAACAAGCCCAAGUGAUGGUGAUAUUGCUGAUUCAGGUACCACACUUUGAGAACAACUGGCCAAGGUCAUAAGAACAAUGAGGUCCUCCUCUCUGAGCAGCACCUUGCCUCACUAAUCUCCUACAGAUGGGAGGAAGCUUUGAGGAGAGGCACAUGAGGAUCCUGGAGAUGCUAGAUCUCUAGCUGGCCAUCUUUGGUCACUUUCCAAAAUGCCAGGCAUCUCAUGUCUACCUCUAUUUUUAAUUAGGAUUUACAGCCCAUUCUUCCCUAUGUCUUUCCAUUCAUUUAUUUCUUCAACAAGUAAUUUUCAUACUACUACUCUAGGCAAGGCACUGUGCUAGAAUAAGAGUGUUAUUCCUUUUUCAUACUUUUCUAAUUAAAAUGAAUUGAACUGCAACUCUGAGGACUCCCUGUGCUGGUCUGAGUGAGCCUCUUUUGGUUUUCCAACACUUUGUCUUCCAGAUUAAAUUUGGGAGGCUCCAACUGAAGAGGAUCAAUGAGGAUGUUUCCUAUGAGAUAGGAAGCCUGGCAGGUUGGGGAUCAAUUGAGUUCUACAAAUAGGUGGCUGCCUCAGGCCUAGCCCAUUUCCCAGAUUCAUAUGGGGUAUCCUCAACCAUAAACAUCUCUGCCUGAUAAACUUCUGACAGCAGCUUUGCUAUUCUUUCUGUGCCUGAACUACAUGAAGUCAUGGACAUCAGGAUCUUUAGGACACCCUCAUUAUCACCAGGGCCUGGGUUAUACACUGUUGGCUUAGGGACAUAGCAAAGAAGGAGGCUGAGCAUACUAAGAGGUUUAUCAGAACUUCUUUCUCCUAUAGUUUAUAGUGGUCUCUGCCCAGUCAUAAUACUAAAGGGGCCUCUGCUGAACAGGCUUUUGUCUCCCUCUUUCUCUGGGCCUUCUUUCAUGAUUACCCUGGGGAAAACUGGGGUUUCUUCAUGCUUUACGCCAAUCUUUUUUGACAAUCAGCUAACUUUUCUCCUUUAUACAGACAUAAAUCUUUCCUUUAAUGAUAUUACGAUACUCAGAGGUCAGAGAGCACACAUGAAAUCACUGGGAUCAUCCUAAAUAAUCAAACUCUCACCCUAACGUAAGAUAAUUCCCCCAUUUAUUGUCUCAGACUGUUUGACACUCUUAAACACAAAGUCCAUUAACCUGUUUCUCCUUCUAGUUAAAAUCAGUUUUAUUUCACAAACAUUUCUAUUCUAUUGUGAGAGUGGAAAUACCGGGUAACAGCAACCAUCACAGGAGGAAACUACCCUGCAAAACUGUCACACAUUCAAAACAUUUCUCACAAGAAUCUUCUGGAAUCAGAUUGCACGAGAUUUUCGUUAAGGUGUGAGAACACCACAAUUCAUCUCUAUGCUUUCUUUUCCAAAGUUCAUGGCCAGGUUUGAAUUGCUUUGCAUAUAUCAACUCUUUCACAUACAGUUUGCAGGUGGGAAAAGGCGGGGAUAUUUGAAAAAGGCAGGUUCUAGAGGAAAAGACAAAGAUACAUGAAACUGAACCCUGCUGUGCAGGAUGCAGUAAGGUCCAUGGGCACAGAAGCUGGCAUGCUUGGGAAUGUACAAAACUGACAAAGGGCUCAGAAACUUGCGAGUGGUGGAGGCAGGGGCGGCAGAGGCCAGGCCAGUAUUUAGGAAACAUCAGGGUUAAUGUCCAGAAUCUAGCAAUAUGUUUGGGAAGAAAAAUUAAGAACAGUUGAAGGACAACUUACUUGGGGUUUGGAAGGAAGACAUUCAAAGAUAUCAACAGAUCAG